rnacentral:rRNA from 1 species
AACGAACGCUGGCGGCAGGCUUAACACAUGCAAGUCUAGCGCCCCGCAAGGGGAGCGGCAGACGGGUGAGUAACGCGUGGGAAUCUACCCAUCUCUACGGAAUAACGCAUGGAAACGUGUGCUAAUACCGUAUACGUCCUUCGGGAGAAAGAUUUAUCGGAGAUGGAUGAGCCCGCGUUGGAUUAGCUAGUUGGUGGGGUAAAGGCCUACCAAGGCGACGAUCCAUAACUGGUCUGAGAGGAUGAUCAGCCACACUGGGACUGAGACACGGCCCAGACUCCUACGGGAGGCAGCAGAGGGGAAUAUUGGACAAUGGGCGCAAGCCUGAUCCAGCCAUGCCGCGUGAGUGAUGAAGGCCCUAGGGUUGUAAAGCUCUUUCACCGGUGAAGAUAAUGACGGUAACCGGAGAAGAAGCCCCGGCUAACUUCGUGCCAGCAGCCGCCGUAACAC